GACCUCAAAUCAGGUAGGACUACCCGCUGAACUUAAGCAUAUCAAUAAGCGGAGGAAAAGAAACUAACAAGGAUUCCCCUAGUAACUGCGAGUGAAGCGGGAAAAGCUCAAAUUUAAAAUCUGGCGGUCUUUGGCCGUCCGAGUUGUAAUCUAGAGAAGUGUUAUCCGCACUGGACCGUGUACAAGUCUCCUGGAAUGGAGCGUCAUAGAGGGUGAGAAUCCCGUCUUUAACACGGACUGCCAGGGCUUUGUGAUGCGCUCUCAAAGAGUCGAGUUGUUUGGGAAUGCAGCUCAAAAUGGGUGGUAAAUUCCAUCUAAAGCUAAAUAUUGGCGAGAGACCGAUAGCGAACAAGUACCGUGAGGGAAAGAUGAAAAGAACUUUGGAAAGAGAGUUAAACAGUACGUGAAAUUGCUGAAAGGGAAACGCUUGAAGUCAGUCGCGUUGGCCGGGGAUCAACCUUGCUUUUGCUGGGCGUACUUUCCGGUUGACGGGUCAGCAUCAAUUUUGACCGUUGGAAAAAGGCCAGGGGAAUGUGGCAUCUUCGGAUGUGUUAUAGCCUUUGGUCGCAUACAACGGUUGGGAUUGAGGAACUCAGCACGCCGAAAGGCCGGGUUUUUAACCACGUUCGUGCUUAGGAUGCUGGCAUAAUGGCUUUAAUCGACCCGUCUUGAAACACGGACCAAGGAGUCUAACAUGCCUGCGAGUGUUUGGGUGGAAAACCCGAGCGCGUAAUGAAAGUGAAAGUUGAGAUCCCUGUCGCGGGGAGCAUCGACGCCCGGACCAGACCUUUUGUGACGGAUCCGCGGUAGAGCAUGUAUGUUGGGACCCGAAAGAUGGUGAACUAUGCCUGAAUAGGGUGAAGCCAGAGGAAACUCUGGUGGAGGCUCGUAGCGAUUCUGACGUGCAAAUCGAUCGUCAAAUUUGGGUAUAGGGGCGAAAGACUAAUCGAACCAUCUAGUAGCUGGUUCCU
rnacentral:rRNA from 2 species